GCACUAAAGCACUUUCUGGAUGAAUGCAAACUGCAUUUCGUUGCCUUGUGUGAGCAAUGGCAAUAAAGUUGAAUUCUAUACUAUUCUAUUCUUUGUUGUGGUUGAUAUUGAGUGUAUUUUUCCUUUUUUGCAUGCUUUUACUGUAUUUAUUGCGACGUCCUCCGGAGAGACUCCUCCCCCCUGCUUUCCCUAACUAAUUAGAUAACCUGGAGGGCACAGGGGACAGCAAUCAAUCAGGCCUCCUUUGUUGGCAGCGAGAGGCCAAAAAGAGGGCCUGUCAGGUCGGAAAAGGGGACGUGGCCGGACGGAGGGCAGGAGGAGAGAGCCAUUGAGUAGCGUGGCGGCAGGCGCAGCCAAAGGCAGGGAGAGCCAUGGAGCGCCAAUUGGCGGCAGGGCGCGGCCGCAGGAGAAGAGAGCGGGCCCUUGCAGAAGCGGGAGCGGGGUGGCCCGACGAAGGACGCUGGCGGCCUGGCCCUACUGGUGGACACAAGAAGUGUGGCGGAUUCCGAUUUGGACCCUUGGGACUUUGGCUCGCUGACUGAGGAACACUUUUUUUUUUUCUUUUUUUUUUAAAAUUGUGCUGAGUUUUACGUUGUUUCGAUUAUUCUCUUCCCUGAUCAGAGUAUUUUUUAAUGCUGUAAGUAAAGUGUAUUUUUAUUGACUAUUUUAACCGGGUUUACACAUCUUUCUGUUCCCGUGAUCAUCCCCUGCUCUAUUUCCGUUUUAGUUCCCUUCUAGUAUACAUCCGUGACAUGCAUAUGUGCUUUCCUCUAUAAAAUACUUUACUCUCUGAUCUGGCCUGAAAAGUUUCUUAAUUGUAAGAAUUUUUAGAAGGCUGAAAAGGAACCUCAAGGAGGGGCUUCUCAUAACGACUUGAAUUACACUAUGCUCUGAUGUGCACAAAAUAAAAAGUGAUGGAAUGAUACCACAGACAUUAUAACAGAGUUAAUGACACUUUAUAGAUUCAUUUGUAAUGGGACGCUGGUUGAAGUUACGGUAAAAAUCCUUCAACUUUAAUUAUUAAGAAAUGAAAAUGUCAUUUGUAAAUGACCAGAAGCAUCUAAUAACUGUUGCUCUCAGCCUGGGGAACAUAAAAAUAACAUUUGCUCCACACUACUCUCCAACUGUCUAGGAGAGUUUUUCUCUCCUCCACCCAGCUGUUCAAAGUUUUAUAUGAUGUUGGGAUUUAUUUUUUAUUUUAAGGCCAAUAUCUCAUAAUUGGCAUCACAUAUGUGUUUUAUACUUUUCUGAUUAGAUCUGUGUCCUCGUUUGUUUUGUAGUCUUGCUGCUUGACUUAUCAGAAACUUUUCACAGGUGAAUAUCUAAACUGCGCAGAGGAACAUUUAUUUCUAAAUUCCAAGCUAGCUAACUUGUCUAGUGGAAGUGCAUUUU